UUUUGUCUGUGCUCUAGUUUUACUCUUUGAGACCUUUUUAUCACACAAGAGGCAUUCAAAGCAAGCUUUUUGGGUUUUAUUCAGCGUGUUAUUUUGUACUUUUUUAGUACAUUUUGAAGGAUUAUGCUUUUAAUUAACCAAAUUGCGUCAUACUUGUGACACCAGUCUCUGCAACAGACUCCUGAAUCUGCAGAGUAUUUGAACAGGUGUGGGAACGUUUGAGCGACAGAUUGACACAAGAAGAAAAGCCAGAAGAUUUAGUUUUUUAAUUAUCGUCCUGAAGAGCUAUGGAACUUUCUCUGGUUCACCCGGCCCUCAAAGCCUUCAUGUGUGGCUCCGUCAGCGGGACCUGCUCCACGAUCCUCUUCCAGCCGCUGGACCUGGUGAAGACCAGACUGCAGACUCUGCAAAGGGGGGGGCUACCAGGAUCUGGCCGGGUGGGGAUGAUGACGGUGUUUCUGAGCGUGGUGCGAACAGAGAGGCUGCUGGGACUUUGGAAAGGAGUGUCAC